GACGAACGCUGGCGGCGUGCUUAACACAUGCAAGUCGAACGAAGAGCGAUGGAAGCUUGCUUCUAUCAAUCUUAGUGGCGAACGGGUGAGUAACGCGUAAUCAACCUGCCCUUCAGAGGGGGACAACAGUUGGAAACGACUGCUAAUACCGCAUACGAUCUAAUCUCGGCAUCGGGGAUAGAUGAAAGGUGGCCUCUACAUGUAAGCUAUCACUGAAGGAGGGGAUUGCGUCUGAUUAGCUAGUUGGAGGGGUAACGGCCCACCAAGGCGAUGAUCAGUAGCCGGUCUGAGAGGAUGAACGGCCACAUUGGGACUGAGACACGGCCCAGACUCCUACGGGAGGCAGCCGUGGGGAAUCUUCCGCAAUGGACGAAAGUCUGACGGAGCAACGCCGCGUGAGUGAUGACGGCCUUCGGGUUGUAAAGCUCUGUUAAUCGGGACGAAAGGCCUUCUUGCGAAUAGUGAGAAGGAUUGACGGUACCGGAAUAGAAAGCCACGGCUAACUACGUG
rnacentral:rRNA from 1 species